UACGUAGGGGGCUAGCGUUGUCCGGAUUUAUUGGGCGUAAAGAGCUCGUAGGCGGUUUGUCGCGUCUGCUGUGAAAACUCGGGGCUUAACUCCGGGCCUGCAGUGGGUACGGGCAGACUAGAGUGCGGUAGGGGAGACUGGAAUUCCUGGUGUAGCGGUGAAAUGCGCAGAUAUCAGGAAGAACACCUAUGGCGAAGGCAGCUCUCUGGGACGGUACUGACGCUGAGACGCGAAAGCGUGGGGAGCGAACAGG
rnacentral:rRNA from 1 species